rnacentral:rRNA from 1 species
AACGAACGCUGGCGGCGCGUCUUAAGCAUGCAAGUCGAACGGCAAGAUUGGUGCUUGCACCGAUCCUAGAGUGGCGGACUGGUGAGUAACGUGUGGGUGACGUACCCUAAGGAUGGGGAUAGCUGGUAGAAAUAUCAGAUAAUACCGAAUAUCCUUAUUGUUGUUAGAGGACAGUAUGGAAAGGAGCUUUGGCUUCGCCUAAGGAUCGGCCCGCGUACUAUUAGCUAGUUGGUGAGGUAACGGCUCACCAAGGCGACGAUAGUUAUCCGGCCUAAGAGGGUGAACGGACACAUUGGGACUGAGAUACGGCCCAGACUCCUACGGGAGGCAGCAGCUAAGAAUAUUCCGCAAUGGAGGAAACUCUGACGGAGCGACGCCGCGUGGAUGAUGAAGGCCGGAAGGUUGUAAAAUCCUUUUAAGCAAGAAGAAUAAACUUUACAGGGAAUGGUAGAGUGGUGACGGUAUUGCUUGAAUAAGCAACGGCUAAUUACGUGCCAGCCGCCGCGGUAACAC